rnacentral:rRNA from 1 species
AGGAUGAACGCUGGCGGUCUGCUUAACACAUGCAAGUCGAACGGAGUAGCAAUACUUAGUGGCGGACGGGUGAGUAACGCGUGAGAAUCUACCUUCAGGACGGAGACAACAGUUGGAAACGACUGCUAACCCCCGAUGUACCGAAAGGGCAAAUAUUUAUAGCCUGAAGAAGAGCUCGCGUCCGAUUAGCUAGUUGGAGAGGUAAAAGCUCACCAAGGCGACGAUCGGUAGCUGGUCUGAGAGGACGAUCAGCCACACUGGGACUGAGACACGGCCCAGACUCCUACGGGAGGCAGCAGUGGGAUUUCGCAAUGGGCGAAAGCCUGACGGAGCAAGACCGCGUGGGGGAAGAAGGCUCUUGGGUUGUAACCUCUUUAGUAGGGAAGAAGCGAAAGUGACGGUACCUGCAGAAAAGCACCGGCUAACUACGCGCCAGCAGCCGC